rnacentral:snRNA from 1 species
UGCCACACCUCUGAGCUC